rnacentral:rRNA from 1 species
UCCUCCCUCUGGCGGCGUGCUUAACACAUGCAAGUCGAACGGAAAGGCCCUGCUUUUGUGGGGUGCUCGAGUGGCGAACGGGUGAGUAACACGUGAGUAACCUGCCCUUGACUUUGGGAUAACUUCAGGAAACUGGGGCUAAUACCGGAUAGGAGCUCCUGCUGCAUGGUGGGGGUUGGAAAGUUUCGGCGGUUGGAGAUGGACUCGCGGCUUAUCAGCUUGUUGGUGGGGUAGUGGCUUACCAAGGCUUUGACGGGUAGCCGGCCUGAGAGGGUGACCGGCCACAUUGGGACUGGGAUACGGCCCAGACUCCUACGGGAGGCAGCAGUGGGGAAUAUUGCACAAUGGGCGGAAGCCUGAUGCAGCAACGCCGCGUGCGGGAUGACGGCCUUCGGGUUGUAAACCGCUUUCGCCUGUGACGAAGCGUGAGUGACGGUAAUGGGUAAAGAAGCACCGGCUAACUACGUG